GGUUGACUGGGGCAGCCCAGAACACUGGGGAGACUAGAUCGAUAGGGCUGCACAGAGGUGGCACAGUUGUGCCAGAGGUGCCACUUCGGAUAAACCCUUUGGACUCCUAACUCCAAUCAGGUGUCUGCUUUGUUGAGGACUCACAGACACAGUCUCCUUUCUUCAAGAUCUUUACAAUGCAAGACCUCACUAACACACAGGGAUGGUCUCCCAGAGGGUCUGUGCUGUUCCUUCACUCAGAACAUCAAGAUGCACUGAAGUAAGGAUCCUCUAUUCUACAGUUCCUGCUAGCUGAGCUAUUCCAUGGGGGCUUCAGCAGGAAAUUCCAAGGUUGGCUUUGACAAGCUAAGGCCGGCUGGUGGAGCACAUCGAGUUCUGGAGGUUCAUGUGUGUUUUCAUGAAGAUCUGUCUGCCCGUAGCAGAUAAAGAGUUGUUGCCCCACUCCUCCUGGGGUCUUCUAUUUUCCUGGGAGGAAUUUCUGGAUUAACUGAACACACACACACACACACACACCCUUUUGAAGCAUCAACAGUAAUUCUGAGUUCUUAGGGACAAUGCAGAUUAAAUCCACAAUAAGAAAGACAA
ensembl:lncRNA DHRS4-AS1 DHRS4 antisense RNA 1